GAUGAAGAACGUAGCGAAAUGCGAUAAGUAAUGUGAAUUGCAGAAUUCAGUGAAUCAUCGAAUCUUUGAACGUACAUUGCGCCCUCUGGUAUUCCGGGGGGCAUGCCUGUUCGAGCGUCAUUAUAACCACUCAAGCUCUCGCUUGGUAUUGGGGUUCGCGGUUCCGCGGCCCCUAAAAUCAGUGGCGGUGCCUGUCGGCUCUACGCGUAGUAAUACUCCUCGCGAUUGAGUCCGGUAGGUCUACUUGCCAGCAACCCCCAAUUUUUACAGGUUGACCUCGGAUCAGGUAGGGAUACCCGCUGAACUUAAGCAUAUCAAUAAGCGGAGGA
rnacentral:misc_RNA from 1 species